AUUGAACGCUGGCGGAAUGCUUUACACAUGCAAGUCGAACGGCAGCACGGACUUCGGUCUGGUGGCGAGUGGCGAACGGGUGAGUAAUGUAUCGGAACGUGCCCAGUCGUGGGGGAUAACGUAGUGAAAAUUACGCUAAUACCGCAUACGAUCUAUGGAUGAAAGCGGGGGAUCGCAAGACCUCGCGCGAUUGGAGCGGCCGAUUCCAGAUUAGGUAGUUGGUGGGGUAAAGGCCCACCAAGCCAACGAUCUGGAGCUGGUCUGAGAGGACGACCAGCCAAAACGGAAAUGGAACCAGGUCCAGACUCCUACGGGAGGCAGCAGUGGGGAAUUUUGGACAAUGGGCGAAAGCCUGAUCCAGCCAUUCCGCGUGCAGGAUGAAGGCCCUCGGGUUGUAAACUGCUUUUGUACAGAACGAAAAGGUUUCUACUAAUACUAGGAGCUCAUGACGGUACUGUAAGAAUAAGCACCGGCUAACUACGUGCCAGCAGCCGCCGUAA
rnacentral:rRNA from 1 species